CACAGACUGGGCUGGCUGAUCCAGCCCAUCACCGGUGCUGUGGCCUUGCUCGGCUGUUCCAUCGAGAUCGAGCCAUCGAAUCGAAUGAACCAAACGCCGCCGCCGCCACAACUGACCUGACCUGGCCGCCCCGGCGACCCGCCUCCCGCCUCCACGACUGCCCCGGCCCACGCCUCCCCUUGCUCGUUGCUCCCCAGUACCCCUCACCCGUAGAGCCAUCCUCACUCUCGCACGGCCGCCGCCUGACCCCGAGCACGAGCGGUCUUCUGUCCGUACCACUGCCGCCGGCGAGCUCCGCUCGGUGACGUCCUGAGGACCUGAACACGACCCACGAACGCCGUCGGGCAUCGAGAUCGACACAGCUGCUCGAGAAUUUGAAGUACACCUUCUGCUUCUUUAUGCACUCCUGAAUGCUCGGGACCUACACUGCCUACACAGACUUGCAUUUGAGACGUAAAUUCGAUGAGAAGAUUAGCAGAACAUUUACCGUACAUUUCCAGAUCGAUUUCCUUGAUACAAUUCAAGGAAAUGUCCUCAUUCGCUGCCGGUCAUGGACGCCGUCCCAAGAAGAAGCUUUAUCACCGCGAGCCUGGACUCGACAAGGCCAUGGACCUCCAAAAGAAGCCCGCCCUCCUCCUCCGUCUCCGUGAGCUCAUCCUGGCCCAAAAGACAGGUUCACUACUUGUACGUGACCUGGAAAAGGAGGUUGGCUUUGUCCAAAAAUGGAACUUUGUUGCACUGAUUGAGCGCCACCCCAAUAUCUUCCGUGUCUCUGGUGGAAGUACAUCGCGUGAACCCAUUGCUGUCAUGCUUACUGAGAAGGCCAGAAAUAUUUCUGGUGAGGAGAUCCGAGCACAGGAGCUAAUGGAACCUAUCUUGGUAAGAAAUCUGAGGAAGCUGUUAAUGAUGUCCAUGGACUGCCAGAUCCCUUUAGAGAAGAUUGAGCUCAUCCAACCUGAAUUGGGUUUACCAAAGAACUUCAAGGACAAGUUGAUUCCAAGUUACCCUGAUUUUUUUUCAAUCCGUGAUGUGAGAGGAUUGGACCAUCUGUGUCUGGAGAGUUGGGAUUCUUCACUAGCAGUCACAGCACGAGAAGAACAAUUGAACUUUGAUGGUUUCCAAAUGGAGUACAGAGGGGUUCCUAAAGAUGGAAAUAUACUGGGUCCUUUUGCUUUCAAGUUAAAGUAUCCAGCUGGAUUUAGGCCCAACCGGAAGUACCUUGAGGAGGUAGUCAGGUGGCAGAAGAUGGCGUUUCCUUCACCUUAUUUGAAUGCUAGGCGAGUGGAGCCUGCAACUCCACAGGCUCGGAAGCGAUCUGUUGCUGUUCUACAUGAGGUCUUAAGCUUGAUAAUGCAGAAACGACUGACAUCUGACAAGCUAGAAGUCUUCCAUAACGAGUACAGGCUGCCAUGCAAGCUACUCCUUUGUUUGAUAAAAAAUCAUGGGAUCUUCUACAUCACUAACAAGGGUGCAAGAAGUACCGUCUUUCUCAAGGAGGCCUACGAUGAUAUUAAUCUCAUUGAGAAGUGUCCUCUGCUGAAAUUCCAUGAUCAGUUUUCCUCUUUAAUUGGACGGCCAUGCUUCGACUUGAAUACUCCACUGGCAGUAUAGCUCGAGUACUGAUUUACAUGAGAAGCAAAACCAUGAUGUGUUCGUCUGGUGCAUCUUCUUAGUUGAUUGCUUGAUGCUCACAUAUGAGCCCAUUUGCACACAACAAACUAUAUUGCCCCAUUUCUGUUAAGCGAGACCAGCACACGGGAUUAUAAUCCUCACUGGCAAUUGUUCAGCGGAUGGAACUCAUAGAGGGUCAACUAUAAGCGAAGAUGGCCUACCAGUUACUGUACGAUCUUUAUCUAGCAGGAACAGUUAUGCAGCAAGCUGGCAUGAAACCUUUCUUCUCUUGUUAAUAUGUCAGCACAAAUAUUGCAAUCCAGCGAUAACAGUCAGUCUGUGUGUGUUGUCAGAUUAUUCUGUAGCGAGUCUCUGGUACUGAUAUUGUUUCUGUGUGAUGUAGCUUUGUGUCAAAAUCAGUAGGCUGUGCACCAGUCAAAGCACAGGAACAAUGCAAUGGAGUGCUAUGAUGGAUUGAGCGAUGGCUGAACAAUGGCAUCCUCCAAAAGGCUGUAGGGUAGGUGCUUGUUUAGCUCUAGCAGCGAAAUCAGGGAAUCACUGCUUACCGUUGAUCUCGGACCGGAUUCUAAGCACGCAGAGCUUUGCCGGUUUGUUACGCCAAUCAAUAUAACCCUCAACAGGCUAUUCAUGGGCAGGUUUGGAUCCCUUUCAGGCUAAUCUUGAGUACCUGGUGAUAUAUUCCUGCAUUGAAGUGGUUGUCAACAUAGAAUGGUGCCUUGGUGGGGGGUGCAUAUAUACUUAUAACUCCAACACCAAGCACAGCUCUCAGUGGGAUCGAAUCAGACGGAACAUGUGCCAAGUAAAGAAGGACCGACAAAAUUGUGCACUGGUGUGGCGGCAUGGAGGUGAGAUGGGGGAGGCCAACUGGCCGCUGCUCAAUUAUAUAACCCCUGAAAGUGAAGAGCAUGAACAGGAGCGGUGAUUGGGGUCAGAUUCUGCAGACACUAAGGGGAGCACCUAUGAUGGUGGUCAGAUGCACUGAAAGCUAUAUUUGGAUGGGUGCUAGUGGCUUACCCAGAAAAAGUCAAGCAAAUACUACAACAGAUGGAGACCGAAGGCCCCCGACCCUUCUCUGAUUCUGUUUGUUUUUAUUCUCCUGAUUACCCCAUUUUUGUUAAGAGAGACCAACACUCAUGGGAUUAUAACCCUCACUCAACGCAUCUUUGUAAUGUUCACUGGAAAUUGUUCAGCGGUUGGAACUCACAUAUGGUCAACUAUAAGCGAAGAUGACCUACCAGUUACUGUAUGAUCUUUAUCCAGCAGGAACAGUUAUGCUGCAAGCUGUCAUGAAAACCUUUCUUCUCUUGUUAAUAUCUCAGUACAAAUAUAGCAAUCCAGCAAUCAGGGUCAGUCUUUGUAGCAUGGGUUUGAUGUUGCUAGAUUAUUCUGUAGCAGAGUCUCUGGUACUGGUACUGUUUCUGUGUAAUUCAGCUUUGUGUCAAAAUCAAUACGCUGCGCACCAGUCAAAGUACAGAGACAAUACAAUGGAGUGCUUUGAUGGAUCCAGCGACGGCUGAACAAUUGCAUCCUCCAAAAGGCAGUAGGUCAGUUGCUUGUUUAGCCCUAUCAGCGAAACUGGGAAAACACUGUUUACUGUUGAUCUCGGACCGGGUUCGGAGCACGCAAAGCUUUACCGAUUUGCUACGCCAAUCGAUACCCGCAACAGGCUAUUCAUGGGCUGGUUUGAAUCCCUUUUAGACUGUCUUGAGUAUGUUCUGAUAUUCCGGCAUUGAAGUGGUUGUCAAGUUCAACAUAGAAUGAUAUUCUUGGUGGGAGAUGCAUAUAUACUUAACUCCAACGCCAAACAUGGCUCUCAGUGGGAUCGAAUCAGAUGAGCACCUGCUAAGUAAAGACGGACCGACAAAGUUGUGCAUUGGUGUGGAAAUCAAUAUGCUGUGCACCAGUCAAAGUACAGAGACAAUACAAUGGAGUGCUUUGAUGGAUUGAGCGAGGGCUGAACAAUGCUAUCCUCUGAAAGCCUGUAGGUUUGGUGCUUGUUUAGCUCUGAAUAAAGACCGGCGAAAUAGGGGAAACACUGCUUACCGUCGAUCUCGGAUCGGAUUCUAGGCACGCAGAGCUUUGCUGGUUUGUUACGCCAAUCGUUAUAUACCCGCAACAGGCUAUUCAUGGGCAGGUUUGGAUCCCUUUCAGGCUAAUCUUGAGUACCUUGUGAUAUAUUCCUGCAUUGAAGUGGUUGUCAACAUAGAAUGAUGCCUUGGCGGGGUAUGCAUAUAUACUUAACUCCAACUCCAACGGCAAACACAGCCCUCAGUGGGAUCAAAUCAGACGAGCAUAUGCCAAGUAAACAAGGACCGACAAAAUUAUGCAUGGUGUGGACACAUGGAGGCCCAAUUAUAACCCCUGAAAGUGAAGAGCAUGAGCAGGAGCAGUGAUUGGGACCAGAUUCUGCAGACACUAAGGGAGCACCUAUGAUGGUGGUCAUGAGCCUGGUCAGAUGCACUGAAAGCUAGAUUUGGUUGGCAACUUUUCUGAUCAUGUUUCUUCUUCUUCUCCUGGAAAGCAGAAGCGAUUCCGUUGGCAAAUCAAAGUGGAGGCAAUGGGGACACUAGCUACAACGAUUGAUUGAUGGAUGCUGCCGCGUGGCCGUACGGUCUUCUUCGCAUCGAAAUGAUUGAUGAUGACAUGAUAACUACGAUAAUCUUGUAGCACAAGCUUUUUUGGGGGGGUAUAACCUUCAUUCCAUUGGGGCUACUUCAGAAUUCAUUUUCUCAAAGAAAAUAAAAUUACUUCAUAGUCACAGGGCAUUAAGACACUGUACACAAAAGAAAGAAAACACAUGGCACUGAGACAUUUUUGCUAUUGUGGAGAGCAAUACUGGUCACUGGUACUAGCUAGCCCACCAUCCCAUGUAUGUGCAUCUCAGUCAGCAAUGGAAAAUUAGAGGUGGUGGAUAGGGUGAGUGCCGUGGUGUUUGUUCAUGACCGUGCUCUCACAAAUCACAAUCACAAAGCAGGCUGAUCUGCUUCUGUCACAUUGAGCGCAUGGCUGAUAUAUAAAACUUUGGGAUAAUCCCUAGCUUUCUAUA